UAGCUUGCUUUAUGAUAUCUUAUUAAAUCUCGAACCUAUUUGGAAAAUGAAAAAUGAUGUUACAUGUUCAAUUCAGCUAAUCAAGGUAGAGUGCUUCAUUUGCAUGAUCCCUUGAUUUAUGGUUUAGAAUAUAGCUAUUUUUAUACACUUUACACCAGCAACAAAUAUCAAGUUGAUUUCAUGUGAAUGUAUUUUGCAAGGGGUGGAAUUCUUAGAUGCAAGAUCAAGUAGAGCAUCAAGUUGUUUUACUAAUGAAAGAGUACAAAUUUGAUAGCUUUGUUGUUCUUAUGGGUAGCAUCUUUGUGAAAAUGGAAAAUGCUGCUUGAUGAGCUUGUGGGGCUGUUGGGGUGUUCCUAGUCAAGGUCUUGUGUGCAGGAGGGUCAUCAUGGGAAUUCAUGAUAAAUUGAAUAAAAUUUGGUUAAGUAUGUGACAUGUUAGUAGUUUUGGUGUUGCUGAUAAAAAAAAUAGGAUAGUAUGUUUGGCUGACCCUAGAUUUAGUUACGAGAUGGAUUUUUGAAGCACAAUGUAGCUUGUAAUAUUAAUUUUUUAUCCAUAUAAAAUUGGGAUAUGAUGCUCAGAUGAUCCUAAAUUUAGUCACGGGAUGAAUUCUUGACAGAAAAUGUGACAUAGUUUUUAUACAUAUAAAAUUGGGAUAGUGGGCUUCGAUGACACUCUAAAUUUUUCUCAAGAUAGACUCUUGGCACAUAGUGUGGCUUGCAAUAUGAAUUUUAUAUUUAUAUGAAAUUGAGAUAAUAGGCUUGGGUGACUCUAAAUGUAAUCACGAGAUAGAUUUUGACCCCAAAAAUUUUGCAAUAUGACUUUUGGAUGACCCUCAAGUUAAUCAUAUGAAAUUGGUAUAGUAGGUUUGGAUGACCCUCAAGUUAAUCACGAGAUAGAUUAUUGACCAAAAAAUGUUGCUUGUAAUGAGUUUUUAUUCAUAUGAAAUUGGGAUAGCAUGCUUGGACGGCCCUGGAUUUAAUCACGGGAUGGAUUCUAGACAUAAAAUGUGGCUUGAUAUAUGAAUUUUAUAUUCAUAUCAAAUUGUGAUGGUAUGCUUAGAUGACCCUAAAUUUAAAUAGUAUGCUUGGAUGUCCUUAAAUUUAACCAUGAGAAUGACCCUUGAUCUAAAAUGUGUCUUGCAAUAUGAAUAAUUUAUUCAUAUGAAAUUGGGAUAGUAUGGAUGGCAAUAAACUCUAAACGCAACUUCAAUAUGAAUAUUUAUUUGUAUUGAAUGACAAUGGCAAGCUUGCCUUUAGAAGAGAGUAUCGUGCUUCGAUGAUUUUGGACGUCAAAUUUGACAUUUGAGCUUAGAUGAUCCUAAAUACAAUAAAUUGGGUUGAUAAUAUUGUGCCUCGAUAACCAUUGAUGUUAAAUUUGAUAUUUGAGACUAGUAGAUUGCCUUCGAUAAAUGAAGAUGAUGAUGAUAUUGUGUUUCAAUCACCUUAGAUUUGAAAUUUGAUCUUGUGAUGAUGACAUUGGACCUUGAUGAACAUAUGAUCUUAAAGUAAAAAAUUGAGAUGUUGGUAUUGUCCCUUGGAUGCAAAAUUUAAUAUUUAGAGCAUAAAUGGUCUUAAAUAGAUUAGAGUGGUGGUAUUGUACCUUGACGACAUUGAUAAUUGAACCUAGAUGUUUCAAAUUAUACAUAGUUUUUUAUCAUUGUCUAUUGUCUUUGUAAUAAAGUGACAUGAGGAAUAUAAGUCUACUUUCUUAAACCUUGUUGGCUAUUCUUCUUUAUGCAUGCAAUUGUAUCAUUAGAAAUCUAUAUGUUGGUAGUAUUUAUUCAUCAGGAGUAAAAAUUCUAUAGCUUUGUUCUUAUGGAGAGCAUCUUUGUGAAAGUGGUAUAUGUUGCUUGUGGGACUUUUGGGUGUUCCUAGUCAAGGUGUUGUGUGCAGGUGGGUCAUCAUGGGAAUUUAUGAUAAAUUGAAUAAAAUUUGGUUACUAAUGUGACCAGUUAGUGGUUUUGGUAUUGUUGAUCCAAUUUUUCUAUUUGGUAGUUGUCUUAACAAAAUAAAAUUGGCUUGUAACAUGAAUUUUUUAUUCAUAUAAAAUUGGAAUAGUAUGUUUGGAUGACCUUAGAUUUAGUUACGAGAUGAAUUUUUGAACUAAAAUGUAGCUUGUAAUAAGAAUUUCUUAUCUAUAUGAAAUUGAGAUAGUAUGCUUGGAUGA